GUGAGUAGGUGGCUUGGCAGGUGGCGGUGGGUAGGCUUGGGUAUUUAGUGGAGCGGUGCCAAGGAGGAGGUGAGGCAGCCGUGAGUGAAAACAGAUAAAACAGGUCAGAGUCAAUGAGUACGGAAUGGAGGCCGGGGAGAGAUGCAUCUGCUGGAGUGAGUGAGGAUGACCGCCACAGCAAUCCAUCAAGGUCUAACGGAGCAGGCGCCGGACUAGACGAACCUACAAACCGUGACGUCAGAAGUCUCAAGUUCCUCCAGCAGCUGCGCCAAUCACUGCCACGCUGCGUCAAGGCCACACUGGAGGACUUCAGCAGGGAGACCUCGUGACGUCAUACAGGAGACCCGGAGAAGCGACGCCGCUAAGUUAACAUGCGAGAGUCGGCAAGCACGAACGUUCGAUGUGGACAGCGGGGCCAGGGGACGACGGACUUGACUUGGUAUUUCAAACGUUCAUGCCAUCCUUUCUUAUGACAUGGUAUUCUGUAUAAUUAGUUAGUUAAUUAACUCAUUUGUUAAUUAGUUAGUUAAUGUAUACAUAUCUCUCGACAAAUAUAUUUUGAUGUUUUUUUUUUUCUAUCGUUACAGAUGUUAGUUAAAAAUGUAAAAUGCAUGUAAUAUCUUUUGUUCACUGGUAAUUCUUCUCUUGUAAAGAAAAUAAAUAAAUAAAAACAAUUAAAAACAUCUAAUUAAUCUUGCCAUCGUCCUUUCAUUUGGAAGAAGAAACGCCCAUGAAAUAAAUCACCCUGUAAGAUCAGUGUCUUGAAUUAGCAGAGCCAGCCUCCGCCCAGCACCUGAAGAGCCACGAGGGACACCUGCAGGGGAGCCCACGAGAAUCUGACACACACACAGACAGACAGACAGACAGCUCGCAAGCAAUCCAGACACCGAGCCAGACACACAGCCAGGUAGCCAGAGACGAAAGGACAGGCAGAGAGACGGGCAGAAUUCCCUUCCGCCCUCGAGUAAGAAGAGUGACACAUACCCUCCUGUCAUCCUGCGAGCCAUUGUUCUUCGUCCCUUGUUGCACCUGCAGGAGGAGGCGGAAGAGGAAGAGGAGAAGAAGGAGUACAAAGUCACCCUAACUUAAACUUGUGUCUUGUACCUCCGCAUUUUGAUGGUAACGAUAGUACAGCACAGCGGAGCCACGUGUGGUGGUGAUGGUGACGACAUAAGUCUGGUGGGGAUGGUAAUGACAGAAGGUUGUUAUUGGCGGUGAGGUAAACACAUUCCUGAGAAUAGAGACAUGGUGGGGGUGACUAGAACAUGGGCAUGAUAGUAAUGAAGGCAAACCAGUGCAAGCGUGUAAAAAGAGAGAGAAAAAAAGUGAAUGUGUAAAGCAUAAACAUGUCUAUAAAUCGUAAAAGUAAUUCAAAAGCAUGCGUUGCCUUAAUAAUCUUCCGUUACAUUACGAGUGAGUGGGUGAGCGUGGUAGGUAAUAACCCAGAAGUAUAAAAGUAUGAGUUAUGAGUCUGAUAAGCACCGACUCACAAGCACACACAGCCGUACAGGUUCAUAGAAGUUAAAAUGUGAUAUGCAGACGAUCACAAGAGGAAAAUAUAGUCAACUUUUAUAGUAAAGAGCAAAUAAGCGUUUGUGUUUUAUGCCAUUAACUAGCCAGUCUCCUUCAUAAGUUAAAAACUCCAGUAGUGAGACGAUAUGUUGCCCUUCUACGGUCAUGGUUAAAAGUUACGUGGCCUUCACUCACUUGCACUGUGUUUGAUAUUUCGUUCAAUUAGAAGUCCUCUGAUUUGGUAAGAAUCUCGCAAUUGUUUGGUUUUGUAAGGAAACUGUCAGUAGAUCAGAAAAGUUAUGAGUGAGGGAGAGCGUGAAAGUGAGUGUGACUGGGGCUUACUGUGCGUCUUGCCUGGACUGCACCACUAGGCCACCGUGAAAGGAACGAACUUGCAAUACGUGUUUUAUGCUUCCUCAUCAGUAAAGUUUUGAAGUGCAUCAGAGUUAAUAUAGACAUCGAUGAUAUUUACGAAAGAUACGUGGUGAAAGUAAAGACGCCAAACAGAAAGUUAACUGCCUCCCCUCAGCCCACAGAAUGGGAAACUAAAUAAAUGA